rnacentral:rRNA from 1 species
UCGGGUCUUAAUUGACUUGGUAACGCAGCUAACGCGUGAAGUAGACCGCCUGGGGAGUACGGUCGCAAGAUUAAAACUCAAAGGAAUUGACGGGGACCCGCACAAGCGGUGGAUGAUGUGGAUUAAUUCGAUGCAACGCGAAAAACCUUACCUACCCUUGACAUGGCAGGAAUCCUGGAGAGAUCUGGGAGUGCUCGAAAGAGAACCUGCACACAGGUGCUGCAUGGCUGUCGUCAGCUCGUGUCGUGAGAUGUUGGGUUAAGUCCCGCAACGAGCGCAACCCUUGUCAUUAGUUGCUACGAAAGAGCACUCUAAUGAGACUGCCGGUGACAAACCGGAGGAAGGUGGGGAUGACGUCAAGUCCUCAUGGCCCUUAUGGGUAGGGCUUCACACGUCAUACAAUGGUACAUACAGAGGGCCGCCAACCCGCGAGGGGGAGCUAAUCCCAGAAAGUGUAUCGUAGUCCGGAUCGUAGUCUGCAACUCGACUACGUGAAGUUGGAAUCGCUAGUAAUCGCGGAUCAGCAUGUCGCGGUGAAUACGUUCCCGGGUCUUGUACACACCGCCCGUCACACCAUGGGAGCGGGUUUUACCAGAAGUAGGUAGCUUAACCGUAAGGAGGGCGCUUACCACGGUAGGAUUCGUGACUGGGGUGAAGUCGUAACAAGGUAACC